rnacentral:rRNA from 1 species
GGCUCAGAACGAACGCUGGCGGCAGGCUUAACACAUGCAAGUCGAGCGCCCCGCAAGGGGAGCGGCAGACGGGUGAGUAACGCGUGGGAAUCUACCCUUUUCUACGGAAUAACGCAGGGAAACUUGUGCUAAUACCGUAUGAGCCCUUCGGGGGAAAGAUUUAUCGGGAAAGGAUGAGCCCGCGUUGGAUUAGCUAGUUGGUGGGGUAAAGGCCUACCAAGGCGACGAUCCAUAGCUGGUCUGAGAGGAUGAUCAGCCACAUUGGGACUGAGACACGGCCCAAACUCCUACGGGAGGCAGCAGUGGGGAAUAUUGGACAAUGGGCGCAAGCCUGAUCCAGCCAUGCCGCGUGAGUGAUGAAGGCCCUAGGGUUGUAAAGCUCUUUCACCGGUGAAGAUAAUGACGGUA